rnacentral:rRNA from 1 species
GAAUCCGGUUGAUCCUGCCGGACCUGACUGCUAUCGGAUUGAUACUAAGCCAUGCGAGUCUUUGCAGUAAUGCAAGGCAUACGGCUCAGUAACACGUAGUCAACCUACCCUAUGGACGAGAAUAAUCUCGGGAAACUGAGCAUAAUUCUUGAUAGAUCAUAAUGCCUGGAAUGGUUUAUGGUUAAAAUGAUUCGUCGCCAUAGGAUGGGACUGCGGCCUAUCAGCUUGUUGGUGAGGU